GCGGCAACAGCUCAAAUUUGAAAUCUGGCCUUAGGGUCCGAGUUGUAAUUUGCAGAGGAUGUUUUUGGCGCGGUGCCUUCCGAGUUCCCUGGAACGGGACGCCUUAGAGGGUGAGAGCCCCGUACGGUUGGACACUAAGCCUCUGUAAAACACCUUCGACGAGUCGAGUAGUUUGGGAAUGCUGCUCUAAAUGGGAGGUAAAUUUCUUCUAAAGCUAAAUACCGGCCAGAGACCGAUAGCGCACAAGUAGAGUGAUCGAAAGAUGAAAAGCACUUUGAAAAGAGGGUUAAACAGCACGUGAAAUUGUUGAAAGGGAAGCGUUUACGGCCAGACCUUUUCCUAGCGGAUCAUCCGGUGUUCUCGCCGGUGCACUUCGCUAGGUUUAGGCCAGCAUCGGCUUCUGUAGGGGGAUAAAAGCAGUGGGAAAGUAGCUCCUUCGGGAGUGUUAUAGCCCUAAGCAUAAUACCCUUAUAGGGGCCGAGGACCGCGCUUUUGCAAGGAUGCUGGCGUAAUGGUCGUCAACGACCCGUCUUGAAACACGGACCAAGGAGUCGAACAUUUGUGCGAGUGUUUGGGUGUUAAACCCUCACGCGUAAUGAAAGUGAACGGAGGUGAGAGCCCUUUAGGGGGUGCAUCAUCGACCGAUCCUGAAGUUUUCGGAUGGAUUUGAGUAAGAGCAUAACUGUUCGGACCCGAAAGAUGGUGAACUAUGCGUGGAUAGGGUGAAGCCAGAGGAAACUCUGGUGGAGGCUCGCAGCGGUUCUGACGUGCAAAUCGAUCGUCAAAUCUGCGCAUGGGGGCG
rnacentral:rRNA from 1 species